UUUCAGCCAGAGGGUGGGUGGAGGGGGCAACCACAAGACGAGCUGGAUCCUUCUUGCUCUGGGGGUCUCCUCAUGGCCAGUGACCUACCAAUCAAGGAGGUCUUUGUCCUAUGGGGAGCUGCCCUCCUCCUCACAGGGGAUGAGCAGUCUCUUCAGGGCCCUUCCUCUUGACCUGGGGAACCACGCAACCCAAAGCAUUGAUGGGAAAUUCAGAUGAAUGGAUUGGCCACCUGAUAAGACAAGAAAAGCUCUAAGAAUGCAGCGCCGGGGAUGUAGCUCAGUGGUUCCGCCACCUGCCUCACAAGUGCAAGGACCUGAGUUCGAUCUCCAGUACCAAAAAAAAAAAAAAAAAAAAAAAGAAUACAUCCUAUUCUAGCCAGGGUUGGUGGCACACACCUGUAAUCCCAGCACUCAGGAGGCUGAGGCAGGAAGAUCACUGAAAGUUUCAGGCCAGCCUGUGCUACAUAGUGAGUUCAAGGCCAGCCUGAAUUACAUAGGAAGACCCUGUCUCAAAAAGAAAACAAAAAAAUAAUAGAUAAAUUAAAAAAAUUUAAAAUACAGAUGCAUCCUAUUGUGCAUUAGUAUUCCUCUCAGCUGAUGGAAUUAUAGGAGUUUCUCUGAUUUCGAUUUGUUUGUUGCUGUGGCGUUGGGUUUGAACCCAGGUCCUUUCACACACUAAGCAAGCACUUUAACAUUGAGUACUACCCCCAACCCUAGGAGCUUCCAGUGAAUUAAAGCCACAU
rnacentral:lncRNA from 1 species